UACGGAGGAUGCGAGCGUUAUCCGGAUUUAUUGGGUUUAAAGGGUGCGUAGGCCGGCUUUUAAGUCAGCGGUAAAAAUUCGGGGCUCAACCCCGUCCGGCCGUUGAAACUGGGGGUCUUGAGUGGGCGAGAAGAAGGCGGAAUGCGUGGUGUAGCGGUGAAAUGCAUAGAUAUCACGCAGAACCCCGAUUGCGAAGGCAGCCUUCCGGCGCCCUACUGACGCUGAGGCACGAAAGUGCGGGGAUCGAACAGG
rnacentral:rRNA from 1 species